AACGAACGCUGGCGGCAUGCCUAACACAUGCAAGUCGAACGAGACCUUCGGGUCUAGUGGCGCACGGGUGCGUAACGCGUGGGAACCUGCCCUUAGGUUCGGAAUAACUCCCCGAAAGGGGUGCUAAUACCGGAUAAUGUCUUCGGACCAAAGAUUUAUCGCCUUUGGAUGGGCCCGCGUUGGAUUAGCUAGUUGGUAGGGUAAAAGCCUACCAAGGCGACGAUCCAUAGCUGGUCUGAGAGGAUGAUCAGCCACACUGGGACUGAGACACGGCCCAGACCCCUCGGGGAGGCAGCAGGGGGGAAUGAUGGACAAUGGGCGAAAGCCUGAUCCAGCAAGGCCGGGGAAGUGUGGAAGGCCUGAGGGUUAUAAGUCUCUUUUACCCGGGAUAAAAAGAACAGUACCGGGAAAAAAAGCCCCGCCAACCCCCUG
rnacentral:rRNA from 1 species